rnacentral:ncRNA from 1 species
AGCGAGGAUAGAGGCGCAAAAACCAUCAGUACGCAAUCCGAGGAGUAUGAGCUCUUAAGAAGAUUGCCGAAAGGGGGAUUUGCCGAAGCGGCAGGAUGCUCAUAUUCCUGUGCGCUGGUUCUGCACUGAAGAAGUGUCGGACUGUCAUAUAGGAAACUAUAUGGAGGGCUAUCUGACGA